rnacentral:snRNA from 2 species
AUACUCUGGUUUCUCUUCAGAUCAUAUAAAUGUUUUGCCUUUUACUAAAGAUGUCCAUGGAGAGGAACAACUUUGAGUCUUAAGUAGAUUUUUUGGGUCCUUGUUUCAGUAAAGU